GUAGUUCAGCUGGUUAGAAUGCCGCCCUGUCACGGCGGAGGUCGCGGGUUCGAGUCCCGUC
rnacentral:tRNA from 2 species